rnacentral:rRNA from 1 species
CCUACGGGAGGCAGCAGUGGGGAAUUUUGGACAAUGGGCGCAAGCCUGAUCCAGCAAUGCCGCGUGAGUGAAGAAGGCCUUCGGGUUGUAAAGCUCUUUUGUCAGGGAAGAAACGGGUCUUUCUAAUACAGAGGUCUAAUGACGGUACCUGAAGAAUAAGCACCGGCUAACUACGUGCCAGCAGCCGCGGUAAUACGUAGGGUGCAAGCGUUAAUCGGAAUUACUGGGCGUAAAGCGUGCGCAGGCGGUUUUGUAAGUUUGUCGUGAAAUCCCCGGGCUCAACCUGGGAAUGGCGAUGAAGACUGCAAGGCUAGAGUUUGGCAGAGGGGGGUAGAAUUCCACGUGUAGCAGUGAAAUGCGUAGAUAUGUGGAGGAACACCGAUGGCGAAGGCAGCCCCCUGGGUCAAAACUGACGCUCAUGCACGAAAGCGUGGGGAGCAAACAGGAAUUAGAUACCCUGGUAGUCCACGCCCUAAACGAUGUCUACUAGUUGUCGGGUCUUAAUUGACUUGGUAACGCAGCUAACGCGUGAAGUAGACCGCCUGGGGAGUACGGUCGCAAGAUUAAAACNCAAAAUGAAUUGACGG